GGGGUAAACCUGCGAAACUCGAAUGAACGAACGGAGAGAUUCAUCGUCAUUCCGCGGCGUACGGGUGCGCGCUACGAUGCGUCCGGAUCUCGGUCCGGACGCACGUCGCGUAACCGUCGACGUCCGCGGACGGCGUGCACUUCUCUCUCAGUAUGCUUGCAUCGCGACCCGUUCGAUGUCGGCCUAAGCCCCGUGUCGGGAGCCCCGACGCGCCCGCGAGGGUGCGCCGGGACCGGUUCACGGACGCCGGCCGGCCGUCGGACGGUAUAAUGUAUGAAGCGCGCACGCGAUUCACAGCGCGUCCGGCCCGACGCAAGUCUACGUCGUAUCCGACGUACCGCCCGAGCGCGGACGUAGGUGCGGCGCGACUGCCCGUAGCCGCCGUGCAGCGUCGGACAGUGCGCGUCUCCGUCUGCGAUGAUCCAGUUUCGGGCACUCGCAGGACCCGUCUUGAAACACGGACCAAGGAGUCUAGCAUGUAUGCGAGUCAUUGAGAUUUUAACAAUAAACUGAAAGGCGCAACGAAAGUGNNGGCGUGCGCUCGUCGCGCGCUCAGGGAGGAUGGAGCGUCGGUCUCGAUCGGCCUCUCGCACUCCCGAGGCGUCUCGUUUCCAAUCCGUGAAUGCAGGCGCGCUC
rnacentral:rRNA from 1 species